UUAAUUUACUUACAUUGUUUACUGUAGAUAAAAUAACUCAUUUCAGUUUUGCUUAAUAUGAGUUUUUAAAAUACUAUUAUUUAAAAGCAUCAUGUGCAUUUGACCAUUUAAUAACUGAUAUAAAACUGUGAAACAAAUGACUUUGUUACAAGGUGACUGUAAUAGUUUCGCUGUCAGGUGUAGAAAAGUAAAACAAAAUUAAAGAAAGAACCUUAAAUUGUACAAUAAUUUCAAUCCAAAUAAUUAGAAAAACAUUGUAAAUUUAAUAAAUUAUAUUCUUUCUGUGUUAUUAGUAAGAUCAGAGAGUGUUUUCAGUGGAUAGAUGCUUGUUCACAGUGCAGGAGGUUUUUGUACAGCCACUUAAUGAGUUUGUAUCACUGUGGUGGACUUUUGGUGGAGGAACCAAACUCAUCAUACACUCUGGCCCCAUGGUCAGGCCCUCAGUGUCUCUGCUUCCCCCCUCCUCUGAGGAGCUCUCUGGGGGCUCGGCCACGCUGGCCUGCCUGCUGACCGGCUACUCUCCUCAGGGAGCCGUGGUGAGCUGGGAGGUGGACGGUACGGAGGUGACAGAGGGGGUCCUGACCAGCUCAGAGGAGGAGAAGAGCGGACGCUACAGCAGCAGCAGCACCCUGAGCCUGAGCCAGGAGCGCUGGAUGAUAGGAGAGCUGUACUCCUGCAAGGUCCUCCAUCAUGACCACAGCCAGACCCAGUCCCUCCACAGGAGCCAGUGUGAGGGCUAGAGGGGCUCACUGAAUCCCAGGACAGGAGCUCUGUGUGGGGGGAGCAGGAGGAACAAACCUGCUGCUCUGAUCAAUAUGAGUUUUAAUGUUUGUAGAGGAAACUAAAGCUUUGUGUGACAGAGAACAACACUGCUGUAAAGUGUUGGACAACAACAACUUAGAGAGUAAUGUGUGUAGCUCAGCAGCUAGAUGUGAGUGUGCUUAAUAACUGUCAUGUUGAUGAUUGAUGUUUUUGCUAAUAAAGCUUGAACUGAUAAGUAA